rnacentral:rRNA from 1 species
AGAGUUUGAUCCUGGCUCAGAACGAACGCUGGCGGCAGGCUUAAUACAUGCAAGUCGAACGGUUGUAGCAAUACAGCAGUGGCAGACGGGUGAGUAACACGUGGGAACCUACCUAGGGGUACGGAAUAACUCAGGGAAACUUGUGCUAAUACCGUAUACGACCUCAGGGUGAAAGAUUUAUCGCCCCUAGAUGGGCCCGCGUUGGAUUAGCUAGUUGGUGAGGUAAAAGCUCACCAAGGCGACGAU